rnacentral:rRNA from 1 species
GACAGAGGCCUCGAGCGUUAGGCGGAAUCACUGGGCUUAAAGCGUGUGUAGGCGGAUCGGUAAGUACCUUGUGAAAUCCCACAGCUUAACUGUGGAACUGCUUGGUAUACUGCCAGUCUUGAGCCAGCUAGGGGCUACCGGAACAAUGGUGGAGCGGUGAAAAUGGCGUAGAUAUCAUUUGGAACGCCAAUGGGUGAAAAACAGGGUAGCUGGGGGCUGUGCUGACGCUGAGACACGAAAGCCAGGGGAGCAAACGGG